GCGCGAGUAGCUCAGUUGGUAGAGCAUCAGCUUCCCAAGCUGAGGGUCGCCGGCUCGAACCCGG
rnacentral:tRNA from 1 species